UACGUAGUGGGCAAGCGUUGUCCGGAUUUAUUGGGCGUAAAGCGCUCGCAGGUGGUUCGAUGCGUCGUGCGUGAAAGACCCCGGCUCAACUGGGGAGGGUCGUGCGAUACGGUCGAACUGGAGGCCAGUAGGGGGAUGCGGAAUUCCGGGUGUAGUGGUGGAAUGCGUAGAGAUCCGGAGGAACACCAGCGGCGAAGGCGGCAUAAUGGACUGGUCCUGACACUCAUGAGCGAAAGCGUGGGGAGCGAUCCGG
rnacentral:rRNA from 1 species